rfam:Flavobacterium fryxellicola strain DSM 16209 FBFR13, whole genome shotgun sequence.
GUUUUGCGUGAGGGAUAGCAGUGAAAAUCCUUUUUUUGUACCGGUUUUUUUAAACGGUACAAAAAAAGAUUGAAACGAAUAGCCCGACGGCUG